GCGGGGCCGAGCGGGCAAGCCGCUUAAAGUUCCGCCGCUGGCGUGGCGCGCACUCUUCUGGCACCAGAUAGGGCCGCGCUCUGCGCCUCCUUCCGGACCUCGGUUUCCCUUUGCGUGGGGCUCGCAGCUGCCGCUGCUUUCCCGCGGAGCAUGGGGCUACCUCGCCGGGCAGGGGACGCGGCGGAGCUGCGCAAGAGCCUGAAGCCGCUGCUGGAGAAGCGCCGGCGCGCGCGCAUCAACCAGAGCCUGAGCCAGCUCAAGGGGCUCAUCCUGCCGCUGCUGGGCCGGGAGAACUCCAGCUACUCGAAGCUGGAGAAGGCGGACGUCCUGGAAAUGACCGUGCGCUUCCUGCAGGAGCUGCCUGCGUCCUCAUGGCCCAUGGCAGCGCCCGUGCCUUGUGACAGCUACCGCGAGGGCUACAGCGCCUGUGUGGCGCGCCUGGCCCACGUGCUGCCCGCCUGCCGUGUCCUGGACCCCGCCGUGAGCGCGCGCCUGCUGGAGCACCUGUGGCGGAGAGCGGCGGGCGCCACUCCCGAUGGCGGGCGCGCUGGUGACUCCGGUGGCCCAUCUGCGCCCACCCCAGCGUCCGCGUCUGCCCCACAGCCCGCAUCCUUGCCCAUGCCCUCGCCGCCCUCGCCUCCCUGUGGCUCCGGCCUCUGGCGUCCGUGGUAGCCCCUCGGCCAGUCCACAGACCCUGCCGACUGCUUGGGAACUGGGGCUGCUGUUCUCAUCAUGAGGGGUCAGCCAAGCACCCACACCCAGGCUGGAAGCCGGAUGUUUCAUCGGGACUUGCUGAGCGUUUGCCAGAAGGGGAGGAUUCUCCCCCGAGUCCCCAGAUCAGCAGCCUGUGCUAAACCAGAGCACCUGGGGCAAGAAGACAGAACCGAUGUGGGGGUGGGGAUGGUCACUAAUUCCGACUGUGCCACACAAGCCCGUGAUGACCUUGGUCCUGGUUUAGGUGGCAGGAUAUGGAGGAAGCUCUGGGCAUUAUUGAAAAAGUCAUUGUUAAGCAAACAGGGUGAGGCUCCCAGCAAGGCCAUGCUGUCUUCCUGCCUCCCUGGGCCCAGAGGGUUAGACCGUAAGCUCCUCGAGGCACUGGGUGCACAGUGGGUGCUCACUGAACAUGGUGGACUAGUGAGCAGGGGGUCUGGGAGGACGACCCUGCAAUGAGCCUUGGACACUCUGGCAUUUGCCUUAAUGUCCACGCCCUGGGAUCACUUGGAUAUUUACUCCGUGAGGACAAAUACUGGGGAGGUGUGGAGAGGAGAGAGGGAAGGUUUCUCUUUCCCCCAUUUCUGAGGAUGAGCACCUGCUGGCACUGCCUUUGUGAGUCUCUGGGAGCAGGUAGCGCAGCCCAAGCCCACCUAGGACUCCACAUCAGGCAGGCACAGGACUGGCUCCUUGUCCCCAUAAAAACUCUCAGUACAGGUUUUUUAAACCUAUUCUAUAAGAACUAGCCAACCAGGGGGACCCUUGAUUCCUUUCAGCCAUGCUUGCCACUUCUGACUUCUGAGAGUCCAUCUCUGUUCGAAGUUCUGUGACUUUCGCUGACCUGGAUCCAAUCGAGCUACAAUGCAAGCAGUGGUGGGGGGAGGGGAGUUGUAGAUGGGCCAGUGACUCACAGGGUCAGGUGCUCUGGGGAGCCUGAGUCAGGAGGCCAGUGGGCCCUGGAAGGGAGGGGGCAAGCCCAUGUGGGUGAGGUUCUGGACCCGAGGCAAGAAGGCAGAGUUUCUCAGCAGGGGUGUGCAAGAGCUGCCCAGAAGGUCUAAGCUGGCUCUCCAAGCUGGACUUGCGAAAUAGGAACGCCAACAUCCUCCUCCGCAGGCAGUGGCAGGCACCUCCUCCUACCAGCUCCUCAGGUGCCCCUGAGCCCUGUCUGAUGGCCGAAGGAUGCUUCCUGCUGGCAACUUGGCUUCCCCUUCACUCUCAGAACCGUCUGCUACUCUCCAUCCAGGCUCCUGAGCAGCCCCCAGCUUAAGCCUCAGCAGCUCCAGGGUAAAUCCACCUCUGCCCCGAACUGGCUCCGGAUCUGCCCCAGUGACAAUAACAAGGUAAAUGCCUUCCAUUCUCUUCAUACUUACAGGAUGUAAUCUACCUAUUUCCACAAAUGUUUCGUCAUUUGUGGUAAUGUUUGUUUUGUUUCUUGUUCUCUCAUACCUAUUUGGGAAGCCUGUGAAAUUCAGAUUUCCAAGCUCACUUCCAGAGGGUUCUCAUUUCCUGUGUUUGAGUCAAUGGCCGAAGACCAUACACCUGAGGCCAAGUUAAUCUGUCCUAACAAAGAUACCACAUCUGCGAAUCUGGUUGGCAGGGGCUGGGGGGUGGGGAGAAUGGGGAGUUGGUGCUUACUGGGUACAGAGAUUCAGUUUUGCAAGAGGAAAAGAGUUCUGGAGAUGGAUGGCGCUGAUGGUUGUACAAAAUGGUGAAUGUGCAUAAUGCUUAAAAAUGGUUAAGAUGGGCCAGGUACAGCUGCCUGUAAUCCCAGCACUUUGGGAGGCCAAGGCGGAUGGAUUGCUUGAGCCCAGGAGUUUGAGACCUGCCUGGGCAACAUAGGGAGACCUCAUCUUCACUGAAAGUCAAAAAAAUUAUCCAGGCAUGGUGGUGUGUGCCUACAGUCCCAGCUACUCAGGAGGCUGAGGGAGGAGUUUUGCUUGAGCCCAGUAAAUUGAGGCUGCGGUGAGCCAUGAUGACACCCACUGCCCUCCAGCCUGGAUAACAGAGCAAGACCCUGUCUCAAAAAAAUAAAGGUUAAAAUGGUUAAUUUUUAUUAUUUAUCUAUUGAGAUGGAAUUUCGCUCUUGUUGCCCAGGCUGGAGUACAAUGGCAUAAUCUCCGCUCACUGCAACCUCUGCUUCCUGGGUUCAAGAGACUCUCCUGCCUCGGCCUUCUGAGUAGCUGGGAUUACAGGCACCCGCCACCACGCCCAACUAACUUUUGUAAUCCUAGUAGAGACAGGGUGCCAAGCAUGGUGGCUCACACCUGUAAUCCCAGCACUUUGGGAGGCCAGGUGGGUGGAUCACCUAAGGUUGGGAGUUCAAGACCAGGCUGACCAACGUGGAGAAACCCCAUCUCUACUAAAAAUACAAAAUUAGCCGGGCAUGGUGGCUGGUGCAUGCCUAUAAUCCCUGCUACUUGGGAGGCUGAGGCAGGAGAAUUGCUUGAACUUGGGAAGCAGAGGUUGUGGUGAGCUGAGAUUGCUUCAUUGCACUCCAGCCUGGGCAACAAGAGCAAAACUCUGUCUCAAAAAAAAAAAAGAGACAGGUUUUUACCACGUUGGCCAGGAUGGUCUCGAACUCCUAACCUCAGGUGAUCCAUCUGCCUCAGCGUUCCAAAGUGCUGGGAUUAUAGGCGUGAGCCACUGCACCCAGCCAAGAUGGUUUAUUUUAUGUUAUGUGUAUUUUACUAUCAAAAUAAACGACAACAACAACAAAAAACCCAAGAGACACUAUAUCUGCAGUGGGGGCUACUACUUGGCUGAGUUUGCUCUAGUCCUUUAGGGUCCAUUUGGUUUUUGUAAACUGACUAAUUCAAUGAAGAUGUGAUGUAACCUUUACGUCUUUAAGAAUGGCAUCCAUUUGCCGGGCACGGUGGUUCAUUCCUGUAAUCCCAGUACUUUGGGAGGCCGAGGUGGGCAGAUCACAAGGUCAAGAGAUCGAGACCAUCCUGGCCAACAUAGUGAAACACUGCCUCUACUAAAACACAAAAAUUAGCUGGGUGUGGUGGCGCACGCCUGUAGUUCCAGCUACUCAGGAGGCUGAGGCAGGAGAAUUGCUUGAACCUGGGAGGCAGAGAUUGCAGUGAGCCGAGAUCGCGCCACGGCACUCCAGCCUGGUGCCUGGUGACAGAGCAAGACUCUGUCUCAAAAAAAAAAAGGAAAAAGAAGAGUGGUAUCCAUUUAUGCCACUCUCGGGGAUUCCAGAUUGCUCUGAUUUGCUGUCUUGGGGGCAGAGCGCAGUGUUGAGUUUAUACUUGACCUUCCCCUCUGUGAUAGCUCUCACCACAGGCCAAAGAAUUAAUGUGGGGACUGUGCCAAAUAUCAAGUCUCUAUAUUCCAAUUACACGUUUGAGGGCCAAAAAAGUGGCCACAGUGGCCCCUCAUCCAGCGGACCCAUUGCAAGCCAGGCAGGGCCAGGAUUCCUUCCAACCUGCCCACCACCAUGAUGACCUCGGAUCUCAGGUCAAUGUGAGCUUCAACACUAUGUCCAAUGGUCCUGGAAAUGUGUGUGUAUUCCACCCUCCCUAUGGUACAAUUACCCAAUACAUGUUGUAGGUUUCUCUGGGGAGAGCGAAGGAAAUCAUUACCAUGUACUUUUGCUGCCAGUUGCAAGAUCCUUCUCUUGGGGACCCAGCCUUCCUUCCCAGUCUGAAAACUGUUUCAGGUAUGGGAGGAUGGGAGGAUCCUUACUUCUGUUUUUUUUUUUUUUUUUUGAGACAGAGUCUUGCACUGUCACCUGGGUGGAGUACAGGAGUGUAGUGGCAUGAUCUCGGCUCACUGUAACCUCUGUCUCCCUGGUUCACGUGAUUCUCCUGCCUCAGCCUCCCAAGUAGCUGGGAUUGCAGGCACCCAACACCACUCUCGUCUAAUUUUUUGUAUUUUUAGUAGAAACUGGGUUUCACUGUGUUGGCCAGGCUGGUGUCAAACCCCUGACCUUUUGAUCUGCCUGCCUCAGCCUCCCAAAGUGCUGUGAUUACAGGCAUUUGAGCCACCAUACCCAGCUUUUUUUUUUUUUUUUUUUUUUUUUUGAGACAGAGUCUCAUUCUGUAACCAGGCUGGAGUACAAUGGUGCGAUCUCAGCUCACUGCAAUCUCUGCCUCCUGGGUUCACACGAUUCUCCUGCCUCAGCCUCCCAAGUAGCUGGUGCUACAGACAUGUGCCAUCAUGCCUGGCUAAUUUUUGUAUUUUUAGUACAGAUGGGGUUUCACCAUGUUAGCCAGGAGGAUCUCGAUCUCUUGACCUUGUGAUCCACCCACCUUGGCUUCCCAAAGUUCUGGAAUUACAGGCGUGAGCCACUGCGUCUGGCCCGGAUCCUUACUUUUUAUUUGGGCUAUUGCUACAGUCUCCUGAUCAUCCUUUGUUUCCUUUAGUUGUCCAAUUCAUACAGUGCUCUUGCUGGCCACUCCAGCCCUGGACUUCAAAGCUGCAGGGGGCCAUGCGCUGUGGCUCAGAACUGUAAUCCCAGCACUUUGGGAGGCAGAGGCAGGCGGAUCAUUUUAGGUCAGGAGUUCAAGGCCAGCCUGGCCAACAUGGUGAAACUCUGUCUCUACUAAAAAUACAAAAAAAAAAAAAAAAAAAAAAAAGAAUUAGCUGGGUAUAGUGGCUUGUGCCUGUAAUCCCAGCUACUUGGGAGGCUGAGGCAGGAGAACUGCUUGUACCCAUGAAGCCGUGGGUUGCAGUGAGCCGAGAUUGCACCACUGCAUUCCAGCCUGGGUGACAGAGCAAGACUGUCUCAAAAACAAAAAAACAAACAAACAUACAUAAUGAUAAAAGAGUCAUUUCAUCAAGAAGAUAAAGACAUUUCUGUUUUGAAAUACAUUUUUAUCGAUGUUUUGAUACCUGCCAUUUCUUUGUGUUGGAAACAUUACAAUUCUUCUCUUCCAGCUAUUUGGAAGAGAGAGAGAGAGAGAGAGCGAGAGAGUGAGAGAGAGAGCGAGAGAGAGAGCACCUCUGUGUGUGUGUCUGUGUGUUUAUGUAUUUACUUAUUUUAGAGACAGGGUCUUGCUGUGUCAGCCAGGCCGGAGUGCAGGUGUAAUUACAACUCACUGCAAUCUUCUACUCCUGGGCUCAAGGGACUCUCCUGCCUCUGCCUCCCAAGUGGCUUGGGCUACAGGCACAUGCCACCAUGCUGGGAUAACUUUUUUAAAAAAAUUUGUGGAGACAGGGUCUCACUCUGUUGCCCAGGCUGGCCUUGAACAUCUGGCCUCAAACAAUUCUCAGCCUCCCAAAGUGAUGGGAUUAUAGGAAUAAACUUAUUUUUUAUUGAUAUGUUGACACCUGUCCUUUCUUUGUGUUGAAAACAUUACAGUUUUUAAAAUUCCAAAUGUGGGCCAGGCAGGUGGCACUUGCCUGUGAUCCCAACACUUUGAGAGGCUGAAGCAGGAAGAUUGCUUGAGCCCAAGAGUUUGAGGCCGGCAUGGGCAACAUGGUGAAACCCUAUCUCUACAAAAAAUAAAAAAUUAACUGGGUAUGAUGGCGCACACCUAUGGUCACAGGUACUCAGAAGGCUAAGGUGAGAGGAUUGUUUGAGCCCAGGAAGUUGAGGCUGCAGUGAGCCAUGAUCAAGCCCCUACACUUCAGCCUGGACAACAGAGUAAGAUCCUAUUUCCCUCCAAAAAAAAAAAAAAAAAUUCAAAUGUGUAUCCAUUUAGUAACGGCUUCAAAAUCUAAGAAGUAAAAACGUAACUGAAAGAACUACUGAAAUUCACAAUUACAGUUGGGGAUUUCAACUCUCCUCUCAGGGUAAUUGAUAAAACAGGUAAAGAGAAAACCAGUAAAGGCACAGAAGACUUGAACAACCUUAUCAAUAAACUUAGUUUAACUGACCCUUCUUGAAUAUUACACCCACGUCAGAUAUUCUAGUCAUAUUCUGAAGGGCUUGUAGAACAGUCACAAAAGGUAGGCCAUCUGUUGGGCCAUAAAACAAGUCAAAUACCUUUAAAGGAACUGAAAUCAUACAAUGUAUGUUCUUUGACCACACAGAAUUAAAUUAAAAAUCAACAACAGAAAGAUAGCCAGAAACUGGCCAGGCACAGUGGUUCAUGGGAGGCUGAGGCGGGUGGAUCACUCGAGGUCAGGAGUUUGAGACCAGCCUGGCCAACAUGGCGAAACUGGGUUUCUAUUAAAAAUACAAAAAGUAGCCGGGCGCUGUGGCUCACACCUGCAAUCCACCAUUAAAGCAUUUUGGGAGGCUGAGGCGGAUGGAUCACAAGGUCAAGAGAUCGAGACCAUCCUGGUCAACAUGGUGAAACCCCGCUUCUACUAAAAAUACAAAAAAUGAGCUGGGCAUGGUGGCGCGCACCUGUAAUCCCAGCUACUCAGGAGGCUGAGGCUCCUGAGAAUUGCUUGAACCCAGGAGGUGGAGGCUGCAAUGAGCUGAGAUUGCGCCAUUGCACUCUAGCCUGGGCAACAAAAGCGAAAUUCUAUCCAAAAAAAAAAAAAAAAAGAAAAGAAAGUAAAAUAGCCAGAAACUCCUCAGAUUCUUGGAAAUUAAACAAUUUUUUUUUUUUUGAGAUGGAGUCUCACUCUAUCGCCAGGAUGGAGUGUAGUGGCUCGAUCUCAGCUCAUUGCAAUCUCUGACUCCCUGGUUCAAGUGAUUCUCCUGCCUCAGCCUCCAGAGUAGCUGGGAUUACAGGCAUGUGCCACCAUGUCCAGCUAAUUUUGUAUUUUAAGUAGAGACAGGGUUUCAUUAUGUUGGCCAGGAUGGUCUCAAUCUCCUGACCUCAUGAUCUGCCCACCUCGGCCUCCCAAAGUGCUGGAUUAUAGGCAUGAGCCACUGCCCCCCGCUUUUUUUUUUUUUUUUUUUUUUUU